rnacentral:rRNA from 1 species
UGUUUGAUGUUCUAACGUGGACCCGUGAUCCGGGUUGCGGACAGUGUCUGGUGGGUAGUUUGACUGGGGCGGUCUCCUCCUAAAGAGUAACGGAGGAGCACGAAGGUUGGCUAAUCCUGGUCGGACAUCAGGAGGUUAGUGCAAUGGCAUAAGCCAGCUUGACUGCGAGCGUGACGGCGCGAGCAGGUGCGAAAGCAGGUCAUAGUGAUCCGGUGGUUCUGAAUGGAAGGGCCAUCGCUCAACGGAUAAAAGGUACUCCGGGGAUAACAGGCUGAUACCGCCCAAGAGUUCAUAUCGACGGCGGUGUUUGGCACCUCGAUGUCGGCUCAUCACAUCCUGGGGCUGAAGUAGGUCCCAAGGGUAUGGCUGUUCGCCAUUUAAAGUGGUACGCGAGCUGGGUUUAGAACGUCGUGAGACAGUUCGGUCCCUAUCUGCCGUGGGCGCUGGAGAACUGAGGGGGGCUGCUCCUAGUACGAGAGGA